rnacentral:rRNA from 1 species
UGGGGAAUAUUGGACAAUGGGCGCAAGCCUGAUCCAGCAAUGCCGCGUGUGUGAAGAAGGCCUUCGGGUUGUAAAGCACUUUUAUCAGGAGCGAAACGCUGUCGGCUAAUACCCGGCGGAACUGACGGUACCUGAGGAAUAAGCACCGGCUAACUUCGUGCCAGCAGCCGCGGUAAUACGAAGGGUGCAAAGCGUUAAUCGGAAUUACUGGGCGUAAAGCGUGCGUAGGCGGUUUCUUAAGUCUGCUGUGAAAUCCCCGGGCUCAACCUGGGAAUGGCAGUGGAUACUGGGAGGCUAGAGUGUGUCAGAGGGUGGUGGAAUUCCCGGUGUAGCGGUGAAAAUGCGUAGAGAUCGGGAGGAACAUCAGUGGCGAAGGCGGCCACCUGGGGACAAACACUGACGCUGAGGCACGAAAAGCGUGGGGGAGCAAAACAGGAUUAGAUACCCUGGUAGUCCACGCCCCUAAAACGAUGCGAACUGGAUGUUGGUCUCAAACUCGGAGAUCAGUGUCGAAAGCUAACGCGUUAAGUUCGCCCGCCCUGGGGGAGUACGGUCGCAAGACUGAAAACUCAAAAUGAAUUGACGGGGGUCAUAGCUGUUUCCUG